AGGUUGGCUCAGAAGCAGCCAUCCUUUAAAGAGUGCGUAACAGCUCACUAGUCGAGUGACCCUGCGCCGAAAAUGUACCGGGGCUAAGCCUGAUACCGAAACUGCGGAUUGUAGGAAACUAUAGUGGUAGGGGAGCGUUGUAUACGAGUAGAAGCCGUACCGUGAGGAGCGGUGGAUUGUAUAGAAGUGAGAAUGCCGGUGUGAGUAGCGAGAUGUAGGUGAGAAUCCUACACACCGAAAGCCCAAGGAUUCCAGGGGAAGGUUCGUCCGCCCUGGGUAAGUCGGGACCUAACGCGAGGCCGAAAGGCGUAGUGGAUGGAAAGCAGGCGAAAGAUUCCUGCACCCGUAUAUGGAGCGAAGGAGUGACGGAGACGGAUAGUGUGACCCUCUUAAUGGAUUGAGGGCGAAGCGAAGCGGCUGGUUACCAGGCAAAUCCGGUAACCAUAAGGCUAGAGCGUGAUAGGUAAGCGAAAUCUUAGGAGAGUAGCGAAGCACAUGAUGACGGCUUCCAGGAAAAGCUUCUGGCAAUGCAUAUGCGGCCCGUACCAAAACCGACACAGGUGGGCAGGGAGAGAAUCCCGAGGUGAGCGAGAGAACUGUUGCCAAGGAACUCGGCAAAAUGACUCCGUAAGUUAGCGAGAAGGAGUGCUUAAGCAAUUAAGCCGCAGUGAAGAGGCCCAAGCGACUGUUUAACUAAAACACAGCUCUCUGCGAAGUCGCAAGACGAAGUAUAGGGGGUGACACCUGCCCGGUGCUGGAAGGUUAAGAGGAUCUGUUAAGAGCGAUCUGAAGCAGUGAUCCGAAGCCCCAGUGAACGGCGGCCGUAACUAUAACGGUCCUAAGGUAGCGAAAUUCCUUGUCAGGUAAGUUCUGACCCGCACGAAAGGUGUAACGAUUUGGGCGCUGUCUCGGCAGCAGACUCGGUGAAAUCUUAGUACCUGUGAAAAUGCAGGUUACCCGCAACUAGACGGAAAGACCCCAUGGAGCUUUACUGCAGCCUGAUAUUGAAUUCUGGUCAUACAUGUACAGGAUAGGUGGGAGACAAAGAGACGUGCACGCCAGUGUACGAGGAGUCGACGUUGGGAUACCACUCUUGUGUGACCGGGGUUCUAACCUGGUAUCGAAAACAGGUACGGGGAGAGUGUCAGGUGGGCAGUUUGACUGGGGCGGUCGCCUCCCAAAGAGUAACGGAGGCGCCCAAAGGUACGCUCAGAUUGGAUGGAAACCAAUCGUCGAGUGCAAUUGCAGAAGCGUGCUUGACUGUGAGACUUACAAGUCGAACAGGGACGAAAGUCGGGAAUAGUGAUCCGGCGGUGCCGAAUGGAAGGGCCGUCGCUCAACGGAUAAAAGCUACCCUGGGGAUAACAGGCUGAUCUCGCCCAAGAGUUCACAUCGACGGCGAGGUUUGGCACCUCGAUGUCGGCUCAUCGCAUCCUGGAGCUGAAGUCGGUUCCAAGGGUUGGGCUGUUCGCCCAUUAAAGCGGUACGCGAGCUGGGUUCAGAACGUCGUGAGACAGUUCGGUCCCUAUCUGUUGUGGGCGAAGGAGAUCUGCGGAGAGCUGUCCUCAGUACGAGAGGACCGGGAUGGACCUACCGCUGGUGCACCGGUUGUUCCGCCAGGGGCAUAGCCGGGUAGCUAAGUAGGGAAAGGAUAAGCGCUGAAAGCAUCUAAGCACGAAGCCUACUCCAAGAUGAGAUCUCCCAUUCGCAAGAAGUAAGACCCCUUAAAGACGAUAAGGUAGAUAGGCCAGAGAUGGAAGUGCAGUGAUGUACGGAGUUGACUGGUACUAAUCGGUCGAGGACUUAAUC
rnacentral:rRNA from 1 species